UAUUAUUAAGGUGAUGGGGUUCACCUUUAAGUGCUUUGUGCUGAUGACUCCUGGAUUGAA
rnacentral:ncRNA from 2 species